GUAAUGCACUCGGCAAACGGCUCAGUAACACGUGGGUAAUCUACCAUCAGGACAGGGAUAACCCCGGAAAACUGGGGAUAAUACCUGAUAGGUGGGGAAGUCUGGAACGACUCUCCGCUCAAAUGCUCCGGCGCCUGAGGAUGAGCCUGCGACCGAUUAGGUUGUUGCCGGUGUAAUGGACCACCAAGCCUGAGAUCGGUACGGGUGUUGAGAGACAGUGCCCGGAGAUGGGGACUGAGACACGGCCCCAGGCCCUACGGGGCGCAGCAGGCGCGAAAACUCCGCAAUACACGAAAGUGUGACGGGGGAACCCCAAGUGCGUUCACGCAAGUGAGUGCUUUUGUGAAGUGUAAAUAGCUUUAUGAAUAAAAGCUGGGUAAGACCGGUGCCAGCCGCCGCGGAAACACCGGCAGCUUGAGUGGUGAUCACUAUUAUUGGGCCUAAAGCGUCCGUAGCCUGUUUGGUAAGUCCUUGGGCAAAUCCUGUCGCUUAACGGCAGGAAUUCUGAGGAUACUGCCAGACUUGAGGUCGAGAGAGGUCGGAGGUACUCCUGGGGUAGCGGUGAAAUGCUAUAAUCCUGGGGGGACCACCAGUGGCGAAAGCGUCCGACCAGAGCGAGCCUGACGGUAAGGGACGAA
rnacentral:rRNA from 1 species